rnacentral:rRNA from 1 species
AGCCUAAUAGCUAGCCCAACCCCCUAAAAACAACAAACCACUAUUCAAUAACCCCACACACACCAACCAACACAAAACAAACCAUUUUUCCUUCCUAGUAUGGGAGACAGAAAAGA